UUAUAUGGCAUGGGUUACUCAGUUCACAGCAGAGGCACCUGCAGCAAAUUAAUUUGUUGUAGCACAUUAAUUAUCUCAUAGCUUCUAUUUAGGCUGCAGCUGUUGCUAUUAUGUUAAUAAUAUUUUUUAUCACCACUGUAUACAACAGGUUAUGGAAAUAAUAGAAAUAUCUCUCUUUUUGGCUUCCCCCCUUGUCGUUUCCAUUUUUCUAUGUCAGAAGGAAAGACUGAAAGAAAUUUAGGCAAAUUAAGCCCCAAAGCGCACUAUAAUUUUCUAUUUCUGAACCGAUUUGUAAGAGAAUGGGUAACUGAAAUUAGCAAAGAAUCACCCCACACAAAGAUGGCGCGUGCAGAAUUUGUGAAAGCGAAAAAGAAGACGAAGGAGAAGCAAAAGAGGGACGGAACACUGCAGUGCUGGGGUGCAGCUGGAGUCCAGAAAUGAUUUUUUUCGAUGAAUUUAGGAUUUUGCCGCAGUAUACAUCUGCAGUCCCAGAAUCCUCCGUAUGGCAAGGACUGUUGUGUCAAACCAAGGAAGGCCUCGAGAACGCUAACUCCAAGCAGGAACCGUGUUCCUGGCAUAACUGAAGCCGCCAUGAUCGUAGCUACCACUCUGCUGCUGCCACGGCCACCACCAUGGCCAUCGCCUCCCACCACCUUCACAGCCCCCUCCCUCAUGCUGCAGCGCACCAGAUGCAAGCUUUCCACGGUGGCUCUCCGCCGAAUUUGCCCAGUGGGUUCCUAGAUUACUUCUGUGUGCGAGAAUAGCCAACCAUGUAGCCUGACAAGAGGUAUUUACAACUACUUAGCCUGUUCAGCUGGAAAGAAAUCAAAAGAUAACACUGAACCCUGAGAUGAUGUAUUGCGAAUCAAAAGUCCCAAUCCAUAAAUAGCGCACUUGAUGAGCUGCUAAAUGAAAACCUGAUCUGAUUAUUGCCCAACGUUUUCACGUUGUUCAGAAAGAAAUAUUUUUAACACACCUUCUUAGAGAAUUGGGACUGUUUAUAAAUGCAGGGAGUAUUAUUUAGUCUUACCUUUCUGCUGGGAGAGGUUUCUUCUCAAGGAGGUUCGGAUAUCGAGUCCAGAGGAGACCACACCCUCAUUACACAGUUCUUAUUUUCUACUGUUUCUGCUUACUUGUAAGUAGGACUGAUUAACAGCUAUAAUUAUACAUUAAUUUAAGGGACCUAAUCAAAAGAAGACGGCCACUCAUUUCCCUCUCUCUAAAGGAAACUCAUUGUCAUAGUGCUCAAUAAAUGUUUAAUUAAUGGAUUUGAUAGUUAACUAUCCAAAAAGUGAAUGGGCCUUCUUUACAGUGCUGCCUUGAUUAAUGUUUCUGUUGGAAGUGCACAAACACGCUGGGCAUUUCUUUCUUUGCCUAAGGUGAUUCAGAAUCAUGUGUUUUAGUGAAGGGAUGCUUUCCAUUCAGAAUCCAUGUAAUCACUGCUUGAUGUGCCAAUGGUCUAAUAUCAUGACAAGCAAUACUUCCUCUGUUAAACCAGCUGGAGACACUUUUGGUUUCUAGGCACAGAGCCUGAAAUUUGGAACCAUUUGUCUUUUGCAGCUUUUUUUUUUUUUCCGUUUAAUGCAGUCUUUUGCAUUAAAAUGGAUUAAUUCAUGUCAAACCCAAAUGGCUGGCUCUAGAAGAAGGUGUAAAAAGAUAACCAAAUGUUUUUUAUGAAACAUAUUGCCCAAGGCCAAUUUUGAAAAAUCAUUU